CACGGCAACAACCACUGCACACUGAGUGUAAACACCACAGGACUGCUGCUGUGAAAUGAGUGAGAGAUGUUCCAGUGUGCUGAGGUGAUGAUGUACUGAGGUGAUGAUGUGCUGAGGUGAUGAUGUACUGAGGUGACGAUGUGCUGAGGUGAUGAUGUACUGAGGUGAUGAUGUGCUGAGGUGAUGAUGUACUGAGGUGAUGAUGUACUGAGGUGAUGAUGUACUGAGGUGAUGAUGUGCUGAGGUGAUGAUGUGCUGAGGUGAUGAUGUACUGAGGUGAUGAUGUGCUGAGGUGAUGAUGUACUGAGGUGAUGAUGUGCUGAGGUGAUGAUGUACUGAGGUGAUGAUGUGCUGAGGUGAUGAUGUACUGAGGUGAUGAUGUGCUGAGGUGAUGAUGUGCUGAGGUGAUGAUGUACUGAGGUGAUGAUGUACUGAGGUGAUGAUGUACUGAGGUGAUGAUGUGCUGAGGUGAUGAUGUACAGUGACGAUGAGACGACAACGUAAUGAAGUUUAAAAAGAUUUAAAGCAAAGUUGUUAAAUGAAGAAAUGAAGAGCGUUACAUGUAAACGUGAAGAUAAAGAUCAUUAAAAAAAUAAAGGAGAGCUCUGAAACGUUGUCGGGUGCUGAGUGUGAGCGCCGUGAGAGGAACUCCUUCAGACCGUCUGUUGGUCGUCUGUAGUUUCACACUGACACAGUUCACUGUCAUGUUUCUGUGUGGCUGCAGCAGGACACUGUCAAUGUGGACAAACAUGUUGUAUCUGUGUGAGUCAGCACAAGCCAGCGCUGGUUUCACAGAGUGGGUGCUGAACAGCAUGUCAACACAAAGUGUGGAUAAAGUUCAUCCACCCAGUGGGCGGAGCGCCAACCUGAGCUGCAGAGUAACAGCAGGAUUAGACUUUAAAUACAAACCUGUUCCUGCAGGAUUAAAGUGAGAACAGCAGGAUAAAGUGUGCCCAGCUCGCUGUUUACAUCACACACACACACACAAACACACACACCUGAUUAUCUCAACACGUCUGUGUGUCUCUGCGCACACACACACAAAACCAGAGAGUAAAGAGGAGCAACAGACCCAUCAUCAUCAUCUUCCUCCUGCUGCUCGUCUUUAAUCACAUCCAUCCUGCAGGAAGCUCACACUCUACAGUCAGCACUUUGUCCUGAGUGUGUGUGCGUGUGUGUGUGCGUGUGUGUGUGUGUGUGUGUGUGUGUGUGUGUGUGAACAGAUGGCCUGGUCCUCAUUAGGACAGUAUUCUCCUCAGCAGGAGUCCGACCAUCAUGUUCAUCAUAAGGCCAAACCACAACAGGAAGAGCAGCGCCACUACUCCUGACCAAUCAGGAGCCAGAACCGUCAACACCUCACCUCAACCUGUGUGAUGGUAUAAAGGUGGAGGUGCAGUGGGUGGUGUAGCAGUGGGUGGUGCAGCAGGUGGUGCAGUGUGAGUGGGUGGUGUAGCAGUGGGUGCAGUGGGUGGUGUAGCAGUGGGUGCAGUGGGUGGUGCAGCAGGUGGUGCAGUGGGUGGUGUAGCAGUGGGUGCAGUGGGUGGUGCAGCAGGUGGUGCAGUGUGAGUGGGUGGUGUAGCAGUGGGUGGUGCAGCAGGUGUAGUUACCUGUCUUGAAGGCGGAGGGCAGGAUGGUGGAGACGUGGACACCCCACGGCUGCAG